rnacentral:rRNA from 1 species
GGUGUUGGGGCGUAGGAGAAGGAGGUCCGGGCAGCGAGGGCAGAUAAGGCGUGAAGGCUAGGUCUAGUGUCUAAUACGAGUAAGUAGCGGUGCGACGACGCGGCAGCGGCUAGAUCGUGAGACACAACCGGAAGUUGUUGGCGUGUGGUCCUGUUCCCCUCCGAGUGGUCGCCGCCGCUUCCAACGACGACAUCCAAGGACCUACAGAAGAAAGUAGUGUUGCUGUUGUUCUGGGAGCAAUGAGAGUGUACCUUCCAUCGUUCCAUAGAUUGAGGACAGCUCGAACAUGACUCCGUAAAACAAGGAGAACCAAAUCAGUACGAAGAAGUAAAGGUCGUGUUACCGGUGACUUUACGUCGGAGAUCCCAGUGUAGAGUAGGGGUAGUUGAGUUUAGUUUUGUCUUCCUCGUCUGUUUUGUCUCGACAUCCUCGAUCCGAAGGUGGCGUCGACCGCACGCACCUCCCGUUUCCGGUUCGGUUUUCCGUACACGCCACGUUGCCCAUCUUUUAAUUAUUUAUAUACGAACGUUUGAACUUUUUAUUAAAUGGUGGGUUUGUUGAAACCUUCAUCUUUUGUUAUAACCUUCAUGAGUUUCAUCCACAUGUAGUCGAGGUCUUGGUCGAGAAGGUUUUAUAAUAGAAAACAGUAAGGUGUAGGGACGGACGG